rnacentral:lncRNA from 1 species
CCGAUCGAUAUACCAAUAAUCAAGUCUCCUGUAAACUGGUGGAAUACAUUGCAUCAACCUGGGAGCAUUAGCCUAUCUGGUACAUCAAUACAUGCUCCUAUGCCCAUUCCAAUCUUGUCUAACUUUGCUAACUUCCCCUUCUCCACCCGUAUACUAUUCGUUCUGGAAACACGUCUUCCUAUUCCAUCUUUUCCCGAAUCCCCUUUCACAGAAGAAAUAGAAGCUCGAGAAGUAAUACAAACUAACAAAAACCUAGUUCACUCGCUGUUGCAUCCAUGGCUCUGAAUGGUAAAAGCGCCCAACAAGGAGAAAUGGGCUAAUUCGUAGGUUCGAUUCCUACUGGAUGCGCCGCCUCUGAAAGAAAUAAGUACGUCCAUCCCUUAUACGUAAAGCAGUAAAGCAGGAUACAUUUCCAGGAAGUAAGUACGUCCAUCCCUUAUACGUAAAGCAGUAAAGCAGGAUACAUUUCAUCGUCGUUUAACAUAGGGUUAACUCAUCAAAUGAGAAAUCCAUGACUCUUCAAGAUUCAAUCCAUUCUGAAGCGUUAACGUAUUGCCUGUUUUCGUAUCGGCUAAUGUAAGCUGUGAAGCAAAGCGACUCUAUCUCCGUUAUUUGUUGAUGUGCCUAUUGCUCUGAAGUCUAUCGUCCUGGGCUGGGCGCAGGGAAAUCAUCUCUCUUCUAGAACUGUGUUACCAUAAGAGGUAUUAAAGCAAACAAGCAACGCAAGUGGUAGAGAACAAGCAAAGGAACACGUACCAAAAGAGUAGGAGUAGAAGAGAGCCCUUAGGGGGGUUAUUUGCCAUCAAAUGAGUUGAACAGAGGAGACGAGAAAGCUUGGUUCGUGCUCUUGUUUCGGAGUAUCGUUCAGUUCGAGUUAAGUCGACAACACAAUAAGGAUUCUAAUAUGGAGUCGGAUCAGAUAUACCCGUUGCGCUAACAGAGUCAUUUGUUUCAAGGGGAGGAAUUCCUGCAGUGUCGAGUGUUGGUAUUGCGGUUCAGUCAGAAUACGAGUAUCCCUCUGGUUUGAGUUUUGUAAGGAAAGGAAGCCGAAUCCCUAGCAAGUCCUGUGUUCGUCGGCCUUUCUAGCCGCUGCUUGUCUGUUCUUUCCUCUUCUUGCGUCUGUAGUAGUUGUUCGUCGGAUCAGAAGCGGAUGCCGAAGAAUGAUCCGUUGCUGGUAAUAUUACUGGGGUUCUAUACUAUAAGGUUAGCGGGUAAGCUCGGUGAAGCUGUUAACCCAACAAGUCAUUACUUAUGUAUAAGUGUUUGUAUGGUCCUCGGCUUCUCCACCUGCCUCUUCUCUUUCCACUCAAAAGUCAGUAAUUUAAGAGCACAGAGCACUAGGGUAGUCACUUAGAUUUCCCCAUCCAAUAAAAUCAAGGAGACUUCGGGCCAACUUUUCGGCUUAAGGAGCUUCGAAGGCUUAACCGAAGAGGUGGGCAAGGUGUUGCGCGUCAGCGAGGACUUAUUCAGAGCACUAGUAGUUGCUUUGCCUGGUCUUAUGGUUAGCAGUUCAACAGCCAGCCUUUCCUAAUCAGUGAGAAGGUCACUCCCCAAAAUGCCUGCUCUGUGGUGCUUAAGAUGACUCGGAGGCGCAUAUCUGAUGACAAUGCGGAGACUCUUUAACAAAGUGCAAGGUGGAUAUCAUGGAAUUUACAACUAUUUAUAUGGAACCUAUAUUUCUGGUUGAAAUGAGAGGACUUGACAUAUAAUAAAAGUCAACGUCAGUAACAACUCAAUCGGCUAACUCCCAAUUCUCAUAUAAUAUAACAGAUCAACUAGAGCUAUCGGACAUUUUGGAUUCGGUAAACUAUUCACAAGAAUGAAUUAUACCCUUUGAUCUGUCUGUAUAUAGCUAAUCAAUCCUAUUACUUCUGUUCUGGCCCCGGGGGCUUUCCACACUUUCGGAAAAACAAACUAACCCCACCUAGUUAGCGGUCCAAUGAAGAAGACUCUGUAAACCUAUUUGUAGAUCUACGAAUUGCUUUCUUGCUCUGAUUAGGCUUACACAAAUAAAGAAUGAUUUGAGAGUUCCACCAUCCUAUUAUAAUAAGAUUCUCCCAUCUCUGCCUUACUUAGUGAUAAUUCUCCUAAAGCUUAUAGGACAAAUAGAUUUUCUCUUAUUUUGUGACUCCUCGAUAUAAAGUAUAGAUAAGUAGAGUGGCAUAAGUGGGGCGACUCCUCGAUCUCAAGUAUAUAUAGGUAGGGUGGCGGGGCAGGGUCUAUGUUGAACUCCCUGGUGGUGCUGAUGUCGAAAAGAGGUAUUCCAUCUACAAAACAAACAAGCUUCCGCUUUACCUACUUACUGGAUUUUAGUACUUACUUGAUUUGAGGUCUAAGGGCGAACAUCUGUCUAUGAAAGCGACUGGUCGAAGAGGGCGGUCUCUCUAGCGUUGACAGCAACUCUUUCGGCUAAGGUAACUAUACUAUGUACAAAAAGAAUUGCCAGUAAGCCUAUUGAUCGUGCCGUAUCUUUUUCUAUUGAUUUCAAUGGUAAGGAAGAUCUCGUCGGCAUCAAUCGGACCAAUGAUCAAGCAUCGGAUGUGGAAAGUUGCCUAUGCGCCUUUCUCCUUAAUCCAAUUCACACUUAACUUUACAUAGAUGUCGUGCGAAGCCUAGAAAGACCAUCUCAGAUAAGACGGGUUGAAGCCAUUAUUCAGUAUGAAAGAGCAUAUGCAAUGAUACAAUUCAGUAUGAAAGAAGCAUAUGCAAUGAUACAAAAUGGUUCCGCGGCUAUCGAUCUGGAAAGUGCAAAGGGCAAUAUCAUGAAGACAGCGUUUUUCUUUCAUCAGCAUCGACUAUAUAGGAUCGGUACUUAGACCCGUUAGUAGGCUUUGGCGCACACCUAUUAACUUCCAAUAGAAAAAAGGCUAUGACAUCAGUACAACAAGAACGCUAUGACAUCAGUACAAGACCUUCAAGGCUUAUGUAUGUGGCUAUUUUACGAAUUCCAAAUAGAUUCCAUUUUGGCCUUUCAUCACGGAUGUCGCAACAGGAGCGGUGAGAGUCUUUCUUUUGCCUGAUUCCUUGUUGAACUUAGCACGUAGACCUGCUAUGCUCCUUGAACUUGGAACUACUUACUUUACUUCACACUGGACCUACUUAAGGGCUAAAGCAGUAGAAAGUCUCGUCUAAAGUAGCCAGUAAGAUAUCAACAACAAGCACUCCUUGACCGAGUCAUAAGUCUGGAACCGUUGAGGGCGAGAACUGAACGUCUUGUUAUCUUUGCGUAUAAGUAGGGUAGCCAGUAGUCGGCAUUAACCGCAUAGUGGGCAUGAGAAAAGAGCUUAUAUAUACGAUUCUAGUGAUUGACUUAAUGAUUCUAGUGAUUGACUUAGUGCUGAAGAAGAACCUCUAUCUCCCACAAGACUUUAAGAACCGAGUGCAGCUGAUAUUCCUUUAGCUUUAAGCGCGUAGUGGGCAUUCUCUUCGACUUCUGGAAAAGACCCAGACCCGCUGUAGCUCCUUCAUAGUCCUUAUAGCUAUUCAACAUAACCGUACCUUUCCUUUCCUUAAUUCAACAAGCAAGAGUUUUCAAGCAAGAAUCCGCAACGGGAAUUCAUUGAAAUACCUGAGUCUAGCCUUCAAUGGUGCCAUAUGAAUGAUUAGGGAAAGCCAUAAGUUCAUCAGCAGAACAAGCAAGUCGUAUAGUAAAGAUAAUAAGUAAAGAAAAAUACCAACGAGUUUUGUUUUGUAUUGGGAGAGUUAGUAGCAAGUCCUGGUUGCCUUACUCGGAACUAUACUAUAUAUAAUAUAUCGGGUUGGUUUCCUCCUUACUAUAUAUAAUAUAUCGGGUGGGUUUCCCUACUUACAAAGAAAGUCCAAAUACUGCUAUAGAAAGAAAGUCCAAAUAAGGUUUCCUCACAGCUGACAAUCAAGUCACCUCAUUGCCCGUUGAAACCUCAUAGCUUACUGCUGGCUCAAGUCAUCUCUUUCAUUCUAGGAGUGCUUUCCCUUGUUUCAAGAGCUUGUUCGUUCAUAGGAAACACAUUGCAUUUCAGUACGGUACCAACAUAAAGCCUUUCCCUUUGGACUUAUUAUUCUAUUCCCGUUAUGCCUAGCACCGCUAAAGCUCCUGCACCAGCUUCCACUCAAAUUAUUGACAACCCGUGUAGUGGGCUCUAGCACUCCAUAGGGACGGACCGUGAUACACAAGAUUCAGUACAUAGUGGCGCUCCGGAAGUCAAGUGACCAACAACAAAGAUACUUAAGAAGAUGAGUUUCCCGUUUUCUACUUGAUUCUUUUUCCCUGAACGCUUACCUGAGCACAUUGCCCCAUACUACUUUGGAUUAGAAAUGGCCUCUUUUAUCGCUUAUUUCCUCUUUCAUGCAGAUCUAUGCACCUGAACAAGCAAAACGUAAGGAGCAAAUCCGCGCUAUUCAUUCACUUCUGUCUAUGUUCCAUAAUUAUGUGCUUCUCCUAGGAAAGUGACUGUAUUCCACGAAAUGAAUUCUCUUCUCUUUCUCAUGGGAGGAUCAAAUAAGGGAACUCCUUUUCUUGGAUGAAGGGCCUAGACGGAAAGACAGGAUAGAUAGAGAUUGGAUUCUUGCUUCCACAUGCCACCCGCGAAAAGUCAAGUAAUAAGUCCCUAAUAAUGUAGCAUCAGGAAAUUAUGGUAAGCCAAGACAAGGAUAGAUCCAGGGAAAGGCAAAGCACAUCAGGAACUCAGAAAUGGGAGAAUUCUUUCUUCUGUUCCCCGUUGUGGAAGGCUGCAAAGAUCAAAGGCAAGGUGCAGUGCCGACCACCUCUUUCUAUCUCUAUUUCCUUGUCUAUAUCUCUAUUGCCUACUACCCCUUUUGAGAUUUCCGACCACCUCUUUCUAUCUCUAUUUCCUUGUCUAUAUCUCUAUAUCCUUUGUCGUCUCUAUCUCCGACCACCUCUUUCUAUCUCUAUCUCUAUUUCCUUAGUUGUUGACCCGCUUUAUUCCCUUCGUGAGACAGACCAGACCAUAUCGGAUGAACUGACUAUUAGUGUGGGUUAAUAUGCCAGACAAGUUAUCCGCUCAUAGCUAUUUUGCCUUAGGCCACUAUUUAUUGAUACAUAUAAUAUAUAGAAAGAGGAAUCCAGCCAAUAAGAGAUAUAGGAACACACUGUUAUAGAAGAGAGAUUCUGUGCUUAUAAAUUGCUGUAGGUAGAGCUGAACCUAGUCUCCCUAACUAUUAGAUUAUUGACUGAACAAGUGAUUUCUGUAGGUAGAGCUGAACCUAGUCCCCGCUCCGCUCUCGCUUCGCUCUCCCCUUCCCUUACGUCCUUGCCUGCACCGACCGGAUUGCUUUACUGAGGAAUUGAGUUAGUUCACAGACCAUUGCCCCAAACCUUUCCCCACCAAGCUCGAGAAGCAAGUUUUAGGCUAUCUCAUGAUUGUGAAAGAAUGCCUAGUCCGGAAUGGAAAAAGAAUAGGCUAGACACACAUGAAUCAAAACCAGAGAAUAUAGGCUGGACACACAUGAAUCAAAACUAGAGAAUGUAGGCUGGACACACAUGAAUCAAAACCAGAGAAUGCACUGUAGUCUAUAAGAGGAAGAGAGAGAAAAUGCACUGUAGUCUAUAAGAGGAAGAGAGAAAAUAUAGAAGGAGAAGGAGAGCCUGUUAACCUAAGAAUUGAGUCGAGUGAGUUCGCGGGGUGGAGGUUCUUUCUUACUUACUCUAAAUUGGAAGGUAAUGAAUUUAUGACUCUUCUUAGUUUGGGAGUAAUGGAUUGAUUUAGUCUUAAUAGGGCUGACGUACUUCCUCUGGUCUAGUCAGGAUGGUUUUCGCUUUGGAUCUCCUUGGUUGUCGUGGGCAUGCCAAAUUCUUUCUCAAUGAUUGGUGCGAGCGUGCCAGGAAAUUGUUAUACAAAAGGAAGAUGACUUCUAUCAGACAAUUGUCAAGAAAUUCUUUCAUAAAACCGAGGCUAGGUCCCCUCAAUGUGUAAGCGAAGCGGAUGGUAUUCAGACGACUUUGUAUGACUACUUGACUCCUAAGUGGAAUGAAAGAAAUUAAGGAUUUUAUGAAUCUAAGAAUCAAAGACGUAAAUAAGACAUUCUCAAUCUUAUGAGAGGCGCGAACUAAAGAAAGAGUUGUAUUAGAAUAUUGUAUGAUUCAGACAAGGAAAGAGCCUAGUUAACUGCUUAUAAAAUCUUGGAAGAGGGGGCCUCGUGUAAAAAAGAGAUAAGUCUACCUAACAUACUUUAGAGUAAGAGACUUCUGGGUGAGCGCCCCCCUUAACCUUGCUUCUGAAUCUCUUCGGACCGCUCUACGUGACUCCAAGCUCCAACCGCAAAGUAAGCAUCAUAGCUCUGACUACGCGAAGAGUCAUCUGCUGCACACCCACCACUUCCUUCUCUACUAACCUAAGACUCAGAAUAUGCACCUUCCAUCUCUUUACCUAAGACUUCCAAAGAGAAUAUUACCUUCCGGCUCUCCAAACCUAAGACUCAGAAGAGAAUAUUACCUUUCCUUUCCUUUACCUAAGACUAAGAAGAG